rnacentral:rRNA from 1 species
GACGAACGCUGGCGGCGUGCCUAAUACAUGCAAGUAGAACGCUGAAGCGAGGAGCUUGCUCUUCUUGGAUGAGUUGCGAACGGGUGAGUAACGCGUAGGUAACCUGCCUGUUAGCGGGGGAUAACUAUUGGAAACGAUAGCUAAUACCGCAUAAUAUGUUUUACCGCAUGAUAAUCUAUUGAAAGGUGCAUUUGCAUCACUACCAGAUGGACCUGCGUUGUAUUAGUUUGUUGGUGGGGUAACCGCCCACCAAGGCGACGAUACCUAGCCGGACUGAGUGGGAGGACAGCCACACUGGGACUGAGACACGGCCCAGACUCCUACGGGAAGGAGCAGGAGGGGAUCUUCGGCAAUGGGCGGAAGGCUGACCGGGCAACGCCGCGGGAGUGAAGAAGGGUUUCGGGUCGGAAAGCUCUGUUUUAAGAGAAGAAAGAGUGUGAGAGUGGAAAGUUCACACUGUGACGGUAGCUAACCAGAAAGGGACGGCUAACUACGUG